AUACGUAGGUGGCAAGCGUUGUCCGGAUUUACUGGGUGUAAAGGGCGUGUAGGCGGAGAUGCAAGUCAGGAGUGAAAUCUAGGGGCUCAACCCCUAAACUGCUUUUGAAACUGUAUCCCUUGAGUAUCGGAGAGGCAGGCGGAAUUUCUAGGGUAGCGGGGAAAUGCGUAGAUAUUAGGAGGAACACCAGUGGCGAAGGCGGCCUGCUGGACGACAACUGACGCGGAGGCGCGAAAGCGUGGGGAGCAAGCAGGAUUAGAUACCCUGGUAGUCCACGCUGUAAACGAUGAAUACUAGGUGUGGGGGGACUGACCCCCUCCGUGCCGCAGUUAACACAAUAAGUAUUCCACCUGGGGAGUACGAUCGCAAGAUUGAAACUCAAAUGAAUUGACGGGG
rnacentral:rRNA from 1 species